AUGAGUUCUCCGGCCAAGCCUCGCCGCGAGAUUACGGAGGUGGUGCAUCUGUUUGUUGAUUUCCGGCGAUUGUGAGACAUCUUCGUGGAGAGGAAAAGGAACAAGAAAAGGCUUACUCAGUUGGUUCUAUUGAAGAAGCAGCAUACAAAAACAGAGUCCAAGUUCUUAGUAUGUCUCCAAACUUGUCACCAGGGUUUGCAACCGCAGGCUUCAACAGGUACUAUUGUUCACAAUCAACUUGUGGAAAUUCAAAUAUUAUGGCAUUGCAUGUAAGUAUUAAAAGUU